GUGUGGUGCGCACGGUAACGAAAAUAAAAAUCGAAUCGCUUCGCGCGCAAGAAUUGCAUCGUCCGUCAGCAUAUUUUACGUUCGCUCCGUCGCCCGAAACAAGCUGCAUUUUAUAGAGGCACCGCGAGAGUAGGGCACUCCCGGGUUCUUUUCCGAUUCGCUGAUAAUGAUUUCAACAACAUCACGUCCUAUUUGCGGGAACAACUGACUGCGGGGUAAAAAGCUCCGCGAAAGCUUUCGGUUGCCCCGGUGAUCGAUCGCACAAGGCGCAUGGACGGUUUAGGAUUUCUCACUUCCCACGGUGCAUUCCGACGGUGUGACAUGUGUCCGGUGUAGUUUUGCAUCGAAAUCUGAGCCCUUCCCAGUUGCGACACGGCGCCACACAACGCUGAUUGAGCGUUUUGAGGUCGUAAAUGAAGCACGUAGGCCUUCGCAUCGAUAUCAGACUUAGGUUUAGGGGGCAGCUAUUUUGGGGUCGUCUUUUUUUAGAUGCACGCGCCGUGGCGUUCCAGAACAAUCGCCACCGAU